GAUGAAGAACGUAGCGAAAUGCGAUAAGUAAUGUGAAUUGCAGAAUUCAGUGAAUCAUCGAAUCUUUGAACGCACAUUGCGCCCCCUGGUAUUCCGGGGGGCAUGCCUGUUCGAGCGUCAUUUCAACCCUCAAGCUCUGCUUGGUAUUGAGUCCAUGUCAGCAAUGGCAGGCUCCAAAAUCAGUGGCGGCGCCGCUGGGCCCUGAACGUAGUAAUAUCUCUCGUUACAGGUGCUCGGCGUGCUUCUGCCAAAACCCCAAUUUUUCUAUGGUUGACCUCGGAUCAGGUAGGACUACCCGCUGAACUUAAGCAUAUCAAUAAGCGGAGGA
rnacentral:misc_RNA from 1 species